rnacentral:ncRNA from 1 species
CUCUUAUCCGGAGUGGCGGAGGGACUGGCCCAAUGAAGCCCGGCAACCGUUGAGAAGAACGACUUCUCAAAAUGGUGCUAAUUCCAGCAGGAGAUAUUUUCUUCUGGCAGAUAAGGG